UUGUAAUCUCUUUCAACUAAACUCGAAAAUGCGUACCGGGCAUAAGACCUGGGAUACAUGUAGUAGGCUGUGGAAUCAAACAAAAGCAUAGAAAAAAUUGAGGAAUGGAAAAUAAUUUGGAAAAUAUUCAUUCAGUCCCCAGGCCUCGAGUGGGGAGCAUCCAAAAUUUAAGUUUUUAUUUUAGGAAAAAAAAAUCAGAAAUUCUGUGUUAAAAAAAAAAAAAUUGUUGGUUCCUAGUUAACAAUUUUUUUGUUACUUUUUGGACUUUUGUUAUCUUCUGUCCGUUCCGCAUGGACAUCAAUUCUUGAGCCUUUGAGGGAUGGUGAUCCUUCAGACGAAGGAAAGACAUCGUGAUGGUACCUGGAAUAUCCGAUCAGUUAUGCCCUCAGUUCGGAUAUACAGUGGCUCGCAUCAAUAUCAAAUAAACAUUAUGCGGCGUGAUCAUGAUCGAAUAAAUUAAUACAUGACUCGAAGAACCGG